rnacentral:rRNA from 1 species
AGUGAACGCUGGCGGCAGGCCUAACACAUGCAAGUCGAACGGCAGCACAAGAGAUCUUGCUCUCUGGGUGGCGAGUGGCGGACGGGUGAGGAAUGCAUCGGAAUCUGCCCAUUUGUGGGGGAUAACCUCGGGAAACCGGUACUAAUACCGCAUACGACCUACGGGUGAAAGCAGGGGAUCUUCGGACCUUGCUCAGAUGGAUGAGCCGAUGCCGGAUUAGCUAGUUGGAGGGGUAAAGGCCCACCAAGGCGACGAUCCGUAGCUGGUCUGAGAGGAGGAUCAGCAAAACGGGGAGUGAGACCCGGCCAGGACUCUUAGGGGAGGCAGAAGUGGGGAAUAUGGGAAAAGGGGGGAAAGCUUGUUCAGGCCAGGCGGCGUGUGUGAAGAAGGCCUUCGGGUUGUAAAGCACUUUGUUGGGAAAGAAAAGCAGCCGGUUAAUACCCGGUUGUCAUGACGGUACCCAAAGAAUAAGCACCGGCUAACUUCGUG